rnacentral:ncRNA from 15 species
CUCUUAUCAAGAGUGGCGGAGGGACUGGCCCGAUGAUGCCCGGCAACCGAGCUUAUGACGUAUAAGCUAAGGUGCUAAUUCCUGCAAAAUGAGUUUUCGUUUUGGAAGAUAAGAG